AGCCUUGCCGGCGUACAACUUCUAUUAGCGACUGCGAUAUUGGCCUUCCUCGCCAGCGACACCACGAAAGCAGCGUUGCAAUUGGCGGCAGUUUCUUGCGCCAUUAGAGGUCGUCGCGGCUCCUGUUGUAGCGACCUAAUCGAGCGCCUCUGAUCUCUCUCUCUCUCUCUUUUCUCUCUAGAGGCCAAAGAGUUACAAGGCCGAGGAGGAGCUUCAGGUCCAGCUUCAGGAUGACGGGCUCCACCGAUUUGGGUGCUCCUGUGAUAUAUUUUGGAGGAAACGUUCCUGAUGAGAAACAACCAUCGGGUAUGCUACUUAAUUUUUGUCUCUCUUCUAGAUUUUUGGCUCCUCACGGUGUUGCUCUCGAUCUGUCCGUCCUGCAAUUCUGUGGUGCCAGCGCCACUGGUGCCUGUAUGGAUUCGGUGGUUGUUGCCAUCUUCUGCGUUUUAGGCCUCAACAAGAAGAUGAGUCAUGGGGAACGGUAACAGAAAGGAAGAAAGAACGAAGCCAUGGAUUUAUUCACUGCUAUCAUGGGUAACGGUUUAGCAGAUGAUCUUGCUGAUCCUCUUAUAUCCAUGAGGGACAAUUAUCUCCUUUUUCUUCCAUCAUUUGCCUUUAUACCAGUCCCUGCGAAUGUUAAACCUGCAAGAAGUGACAUUCAUUACACUUCCACUACAUCUACAUGACUCUGCAGGUACGUUUUUCAUCUUAAAUAUCAUCUCAAUCCUUCAUGGCCAAUUGGUCAUACAUCGAACUUCUCCAAUUUUAUCAAGUUAACUUUGUUUAUAAACAAAAAGGUUAGUUUAUAUUUACCAAUAGAUGAUACUGAUUAUAUGUUUGUAAUACUUGGGGCUGUGGAUUUUUUUCUUCACAUAUUCUUCUCUAUAUAGAUCCGUUUGAUGCUCUAUAAGUUUAUAUAUUUAACUACAUGCCAACGGAGGAAAGUUUCACCCAUUUUUUCUCAGUUGAUCACAUCUUCAAACCAUUUGUUGAUUAGGGGGAUAGGAGUGAAUAUAAAUGUGUGGUUUGCCAGGAUGACUUGAUUAGUUCACAACGCAAACCUGCUAUGAAUAGAUUGGAUUGGAAAUGUGCAUUAUGGUACUUCAACUAUUUAGAUCUCAAGUAAUAUUAUUCUGCGCUGCUGCACAGCCCAUAAUUACUGUGUAUCAAUUUGAAAGUCUAGAAAAAAUUUAUAUCCGUAACUGCUCUGACUAUACACAAACUGAAACUUCAGAAUAUUUUAGUCGUUUAGGUCCAUACAUGUAUGCAUCAACUAGAUAGUAUUAUGAAAUUUGAUGUGAGGUAUGGAAGAAACGAGUUUACUAUCCUACAUAAUAUCUUUUCUAAGUAUGAAUGUAUUUAGCCAGCAUAACACAAACCUCUCUUUCAAACGGUUACAGUCAUUUGGAACAUCUGACUGUCUAUUUGAUACCAGCAGAAGCAUUUAGGCCUGAUAGUAAUGUUGGGGUCUUCUGUUAUUGUGGGAUUGUUAUGUUCCUUUUCUGUAAGUUAAAUAUAGUUGAAGAAAGGUAUAGGAAAUUUAUGCAUUGAUACUACAUGGGCAUGACCAAUAGAUGCCCGUACAGAUGGCACGCUAAGGAGUAUUUGUACCAUUUAGACAGAAUUAACUUUGUCUUACUCCAACUUACAAUAAGCUCUGCUUAGAGAUCUUGAUUUUUUUCGUUCACGAGUAAUAAUUUUUCUGUCAUGAGAUAUAAAUAUUUCAAUUUAAAUGCGGAGAAGAUUUAUCAGUUUACCAGCUUGGCCGAGCUACUGAAAAUGUUGCAAACUAGGUUACUGGUUUCCCGGAAAUAAUUCAGCGGCAAUAUGCAAGCACAAGUAUCAGUAAGUGAUCUCUUUUCCUCGAAACUGGGUUACUGGUUUCCCGGAAAUAAUUCAGAGGCAAUAUGCAAGCACAAGUAUCAGUUUCUUCGUUCCUCAUACUCUCAUGGGCUGGCAUCAUAGAGAGGGUAGCUGGAGGUUGUUUUAACUUGGUAUAGACUGCCGCAAUCAACCUUGAUGUAACAGAUGGGGACGGUGCACGACCUGGAGACAGGAAACGUGAUAUAUCAAAAAGUAAUUGACUGUUCAUGGUAAAUCUCGCUGCACCCUGCAUGUACAGAACAUUACUCCCACGACCAUGCAAGGAGAAGAUGAGCCCAAUGCAGCACCUUCCCCUGCCGCUCACCAUGCCUUCCAGUAAGGACAAAAAUCUGCGCCUGUCCUCGCUUCCCCGUCCCAAUCUGCAAUUCCGGCCAUUGAUAACUGGAGCACCCAUCUUACCUAAUCUGCUAAGUAAUAAGUACCAGCGUACAUCAGUACCAUCUCAAAAAAAGCGUACAUCAGUACCAUUAGCUGAUCUGCCAGUUAGGUAGCUCUAUGUAAUGAAGUAGCAAUGUAAGUUAUAGCCCUAGCUCAUCUAACAGUUAUGUCACAUGAUCCUACUAGCUAUUUAAUCCUGUAGGAAAAUAUAUAAGGAUGAACAGCUAAUUCGUGUACUCUUCCCACAUGUAUAACUUCUUAAUCACGUCGUGUAACUAUACACAAUGUGUUGUAUCUAUAUAAGGACUCACUUUUCAGAUUUCAGAACAUAGUUAUGUUAAGAUUGAGCGGGAAUGUUAAGAUAGUUAGGCAAGAAUCCUAACCAUCCUUUCCUAACUAUAUAUUCAGGAACAGAAAAUUGACAUAUAAGGAGACACUUUUCAGAUUGCCGCAUGAAGAGUUGUUGAAUAGCCUGAUGAUAUGAAAAUUGUAUAGAGGAGACUGCUUUGCUCAUACUUCAUACUGUAUUCAGGUUAACAUACAACUGAACAGUCAAUAUAUUGGGUGGUAUAUUGGGUGAAUCUUUUUAUGUCCAGCCAUUUCGAUACUUUGAUCAUAAGCAUAUAUAUUUUACAUGUGCAUUUCAAUGUCACGGAAAACCUCUUCCUCGGUAGUGAAGCUUUGUGGCUUGGACAACAAUGUAAUUCGGCUGUUGGUUUUAUUACUAGAUAUGACACGAAGAAAAUGGAGGAGAGGUCGAACAAAAGCUAUAUGGUUUCUUUUUUGGUAUUAUGUUCAUUUGUAAAUUAUUGUAGUGUUCAACUGAAUUACUUUGUUUCAGAUGUAAAAUUUAUUGCUAUACCUGUUAGAACUUAUCUUCUGUUUUCUUGCUUCUCUACUUUGAUCCUUGUGUCCAGGUAGACCAGAGGUGCUACCUUCUGCGGGCAUACUGCAAGAAACUGGUGCUACCUUGUGCAUACUGCAAGCAUGCAUUUUCGAUCUGUUUGGCCUAUGAUUUAGUGGAUACUUCGCACACAAGAUAUGCCUAAAAUGGUAUUAUCAUUUGUUCAUUGGUUGAAAGGCAAAUAGUCCCUACUUGCGAUGACUACUUACAAAAUGAUGCUGGUGCAAUGGGUUAAACCUCAUCGAACUCUCCAGAGAUGGCGCCUGAUCUGUCCAUAUACUACUACACAAGUGAUAAAUCAAUUGCAGCUGAACAUAGAAGACGAGAUGAUGGAGCGACCAAUGCUGGUGUGGACAGCAAAGUUAGUUGAUGAUGGAAGUAAGCACGUACUGGUUUCAUGUUGGUUUUGGAAGAACUAGAUGCGCAUGAUCAAGUAGUGUCAAGAUAGCAUAAGGACAAAGCAUCUAUAUUUUCUUAGGCGAUCCUUUCUUAUUUCUUAUUACCAUGUUAAAGGUGCACUACCCAAUUGAACCUCCUACCGUGCCCAUAUUUUUGUUUGGAAGGAGUUCCGAUUUUCCAGAUAACAA